rnacentral:rRNA from 1 species
CAGCAGCCGCGGUAAUACGUAGGUGGCAAGCGUUGUCCGGAAUUAUUGGGCGUAAAGGGCUCGCAGGCAGUUUCUUAAGUCUGAUGUGAAAGCCCCCGGCUCAACCGGGGAGGGUCAUUGGAAACUGGGAAACUUGAGUGCAGAAGAGGAGAGUGGAAUUCCACGUGUAGCGGUGAAAUGCGUAGAGAUGUGGAGGAACACCAGUGGCGAAGGCGACUCUCUGGUCUGUAACUGACGCUGAGGAGCGAAAGCGUGGGGAGCGAACAGGAUUAGAUACCCCAGUAGUCCCUGUCUCUUAUAC